rnacentral:rRNA from 1 species
GGCUCAGGAUGAACGCUAGCUACAGGCUUAACACAUGACAAGUCGAGGGGAAACGAUAUUGGAAGCUUGCUUCUGAUAGGCGUCGACCGGCGCACGGGUGAGUAACGCGUAUCCAACCUGCCCAUCACUUGGGGAUAACCUUGCGAAAGUAAGACUAAUACCCAAUGACGUCUCUAGAAGACAUCUGAAAGAGAUUAAAGAUUUAUCGGGUGAUGGAUGGGGAUGCGUCUGAUUAGCUUGUUGGCGGGGUAACGGCCCACCAAGGCGACGAUCAGUAGGGGGUUCUGAGAGGAAGGUCCCCCACAUUGGAACUGAGACACGGUCCAAACUCCUACGGGAGGCAGCAGUGAGGAAUAUUGGUCAAUGGACGAGAGUCUGAACCAGCCAAGUAGCGUGCAGGAUGACGGCCCUAUGGGUUGUAAACUGCUUUUAUAAGGGAAUAAAGUGGGAGUCGUGACUCUUUUUGCAUGUACCUUAUGAAUAAGGACCGGCUAAUUCCGUG